CAAGUCGAACGAAGGCUUCGGCCUUAGUGGCGCACGGGUGAGUAACGCGUGGGAAACUGCCCAUCAGUGGGGAAUAACAGAGGGAAACUUCUGCUAAUACCGCAUACGCCCUUCGAGGGAAAGAUUUAUCGCUGAUGGAUGUACCCGCGUACGAUUAGGUAGUUGGUGGGGUAAAGGCCUACCAAGCCGACGAUCGUUAGCUGGUCUGAGAGGAUGAUCAGCCACACUGGGACUGAGACACGGCCCAGACUCCUACGGGAGGCAGCAGUGGGGAAUAUUGGACAAUGGGCGAAAGCCUGAUCCAGCAAUGCCGCGUGAAUGAUGAAGGCCUUAGGGUUGUAAAGUUCUUUCGGGUGGGACGAUGAUGACGGUACCACCAGAAGAAGCCCCGGCUAACUUCGUGCCAGCAGCCGCGGU
rnacentral:rRNA from 1 species